rnacentral:lncRNA from 1 species
CUGCUCCCGAGGCGCGCGCAGCCGGCCCGCGGGCGAGGGGGAGGAGAGGGCGGGAGCAUGGGGGUGCGACCCCAAAUCACAUCGGCUUGGCGGGGGAGGAUUCCCUCCUCGGUGGCCGCGUGGGCGCGGUGAAUCCCUCGUCCCCUCCUGGGGAGUCGGGGUUGGGGGAACGUGCAUUUCUCGGGGGGAGUGGGAGUGUUGACAAGGAAGAAGAGAGGAUCCCCGGGCCUCACGCCGUGGGAGGGCCACGCGGGCCGGGGACGUGUGGGAGGAACUCCCGAGCUGCACGUUGUGGUGGAGGUGGAUGACAACCUCGCUCCCCUCCCCUCCCCUCCACUCAGUGGAGGGCUGGGGACCGGAGGGCCCGGCCUCCCCCCAUCUUCUCCAGUUCUUAGGAAAGGAGGGAUUCCCGCCUCCCGCGAGCCCCCUCUCUCCACCCCCGCCGCCUCUCCCGCCAGGCUCCCCACUCCUAUACUAGGGAGCCACAGCGCCCCCCGGGCUGUCCUCCGCCAGCGCGGCUCAGGGAGGGAGAGCGCUGCAGCGGUCCCGCGCUCCGGUCAGAAUCAGGGCAGGCUGCGCCUCCCGCCCCCGGCUCCCUCCCUUAGGGGGGGCGCGCGGCCGGUCGGGGGGCGUGGGCGGCGGUGUGAGCCGGGCUAGAUUCCGGUCCCAAGAUUUGCAUAUUUUGGCAUCCAGUGGAAAAGGAAAGAAGAACGGAACCCGCAGCCUUUAAAGGAACCGCACAGGCUGUAGCGUCACCCAGGGAGGCGGUGGGGGUGGGGGUGGGGGCCUGAAAAAUUAGCCAGCGGCUCUGGCCUCUGGCCGUAGAGCCCGGCAGCAGGGAGGGCCAGGGAGGGGCGGCAACCAGCGAGCUUCGGGCGCGCCAGUCCCAGACCUGGCCCCUCCAGAGUGCUUCCUGCUGCGCGUGCACCCGGAGGCUGCGGAGGGUCUCCACGGGUUCCUGCCUGGGGCCGGGAGACGCUGUGGGGUCCGCGGUCCUGGGCGAGCUGCAGGCCCGAAGGCUGCAGUGCCCAUGUCUCCCCGCGCGAGGCAGAGCUCAGCCUGCGGGGGUGGUGGGAAGGAAGUGAGAGGCCUCCGGGCCGCCCAGCUCAACUCCGGAGGACCCCACCGUGAUGCACCCACUUUCCACCUGUCAGGAUCUCUCCCCAGGAGGGGCUGCAGAGUGAGGAGCUAGAAGCCCUUAUCCUGUUCGACUGGGGCCUGAGUUGGGAAAGGCAGAGGCAGUGGAAGCAUUUGGGAUCCUUAAGCUUCCAGGGCCCCAGAGGCUGUGGAGUGCAGCCACUCCCAACUGGAGGAGACGGCCUCUCUCCCAACACUUUUCGGCACGCUGGACUUGUUGCUUCCAAGUAGAAGAGCAUGGGGCAAGGUUUGCUGACCUGCACCAGGGCUUGCUUACCCGUCAGCAAGAUUGGAUAGGAGUCUGGGGACACGAUUCCUUCCCUCUCCUUUCUACUAGUUCUUUGCAUAAAACGGGAGCCUUCAAUUCAAUUAAAGUCUUCAUUAAAGCUUCACUGUGACCUUGGGCAAACGUCUGUUUUUUUUUUCUUAGCCUCAGUUUCCUUGUCUGUAAAUUGGGAUAAUAGUAUCUACCCCUUAGGAAUAAUUAAAUUAGAUAAUCCUCAUAGAGUACUUGCCAGUCCCUUAAGCAAGCACCCGAUAAACUGCAAU